AUCUCUUAAAAUAUUUUACAGAGUUUGGCUCUUUUCGUCAACAAUAAUUUGGUGCCCAAACACGUGAGGCCUCAGGGAAGACUCAGGACCCUAAAGGAGUUGCCCAAAACCAGAGCUAAGGUGCCAGCAGGGGCCCAUUGAAGCUUCGAGCUUCUCCUCUGGUGGAACUGGGACAUGGAUGGAGCUGGAGGCCUGUAUCCCAAGUGAGUUAACACAGGAACAGAAAACCAAAUACCACGUGUUCUCACUUAUAAUGGGAGCUAAACAUUGAGUCCACCUGGACACAAAAAAGGAAACAAACACCGGGGCCUACUUGAGUUUGUCUUUUCCAGAAUCAAAGCUGUAAAACUACAAAUCAUUCUUCAAAUGGAGCCACAGAUGCCGUCCAUGACUAAGAGCUACCGUGGACCAUUGGACCGGCCUGCUAGCCCAUGCUCCAAUGUUAAUGACAUCGAAGGCACCCCUCCUGAGGAAAUCUCAACUGCACAACCCCUACUAUGCCCCAAUUCAGGAGGAAGCAGUUAGAGCGGUCGUCGGCCAACCUCCCCAACAGCACUUGGGUUUUCCUGUUGAGAGGGGGUACUGAGAGACAGGGCUAGCUGGAUUUCCUAGGCCGACUAAGAAUCCCUAAGCCUAGCUGGGAAGGUGACCGCAUCCACCUUUAAACACGGGGCUUGCAACUUAGCUCACAUGUGACCAAUCAGGUAGGAAAGAGAGCUCACUAAAAUGGUAAUUAGGCAAAAACAGGAGGUAAAGAAAUAGCCAAUCAUCUAUUGCCUGAGAGCACAGCAGGAGGGACAAUGAUUGGGAUAUAAACCCAGGCAUUCGAGCCGGCAACGGCUAACCUCUUUGGGUCCCCUCCCUUUGUAUGGGAGCUCCAUUUUCACUCUAUUAAAUCUUGCAACUGCAAAAAAAAAAAAAAAAAGAAAAAGAACUCCAAGUCUAAUAAGACCAGAGACCUGCCCUUUAUGGGUCUGCAGACUAUUGCAGAUAAACAAAUAAUUGGAACAUGACAUAGUGUGACCAUCAACAAAAAUAUGUACAAAUACAGUGAUGGUGCGAAGAAGAGAGUUUGCAGCUCUGUUUAGUUGGGUCAGGGAAACUUUCACUUAUAUAGAGAUGAUUGAACUUGGUUUUGAAGGAAAACCAGGAGUUCACUAGCACCAAUUAUAUGGAGGGGAUGGGGAGUGUAAUAUAAUCUGUAAGGAGGGAUUUAAAUGUGAAAAGAAACAGAUUAAGGAAGUAAAAGUUCAGGAAGGUGUACCCACUAGUUUGGGAGAAACAUAGAUGGUUCCAUAAAAUGUCCCAAGAGAGGAGAGCAGAGACCAGUUUAUAAUAAGUUGAGUGCUGUGCUAAGGAGAUUUGAUCUUUUGAAAACUUUCAGUUGUUGAAUUUUGCUCUACUAGAUGGACAAGUCUUUAUGGGAAACUCUCAAAUAAUAUCAAUUUAUCUAGCCAAACCUAAAAGCAAUCUUACUCCUAGAAUGACUAUCUG
rnacentral:lncRNA from 10 species